GGAUGGGAUGGGAUGGGAUGGGAUGGGAUGGGAUGGGAUGGGAUGGGAUGGGAUGGGCAGCGCUCCCCUGUUGCUGUGCUCCUGCUCCCAUCCUGGCGGAUGCUGGGGAGGCGGUGGCAGCUCGCUCCCAGCAAAACGGGAUCGAGCUCUCCAUGGAUCCCAGCAGGAAUGCUGCGACAGAGAAAGGGAAGGAUUUUGGCGGGGGAUGCAGGGUCAUUGGUCCAGCCCUGCCAACCCUUCCCUGCCCAUCUCUGCCCUCUCUCCCCUCUCACACAGAGCUCUGACCUUCCCGGAGCAGCUUCAGCCCCCGCUGCGGGGGGAGGAUGCGCUAUCCUGGAUUUCCCACCCCGGUUUUUAGGUUUUUUUGGGGUUUUUUUUUUGUUUUCCAGCAGUCAGAUUUGGCUGGGGGGAGGGAGGGGAGGGCCAGGCGAAGCGGCGGCUCGGCGUUAAUGGGUUCCUUGAGGAGAAGCCGAGGGUAGAGCAUCCAUCCCCGCAGCUCCAUGUCCUUCCUGUGCUGGGAACCCCAAAGCUGGAUGCAGGACUCAAGAAUCUCUUCUCCCAUUAGAUGUGGAUGCUUCAAGAGUGGGAUCCAAAUCUUUACACAGUCUUAAGCCUGGGUGAAUGAUUCAGCUUCAUUAUUUGUCCAUAAAAAAACAGGUAAUCUCCAACAAGGAGAAAAACCUGGGUGUGAGAGAUGGAAAAGGAUUAUGGCACAUGGCAGUGAAAUGUGUGGAGGAUGUGAGCUUCUGUGUUUUCAUGGAAAUCACAGCUCUGAUCCAGUCCUGGUGUGCAGCUCUGUCUCAGCACUGGGAAUUGCUUUUCCAACUUCGGGGAACUCCUCCAGGUACUCACCCCUUUCAAAUAUAGGGUGUGUGCUACUGCUUCCCAUGGUUUCUCCUCCAAAAUUCCACUACUGCACUAUGGCUGAGCCCCAGCUGUGAAUUUGGCAGCUCCAGACGUGCACAAUGAGCUUUCCUGGGUAGACAGACAUUCUCUGCCAAGAUCUGAGACUGCAAUUGCCAGCUGGAGGUGCUCCAUAGGACUUGUCGAUAAAAGGGAAGCGUGAGCCUCCAAAUCUGUUUGGAAGUCAGCCCCAGCAAGUCUGGCAGACACCACCACUGCCACUGCCUGAUGACACCCAGGAUUUCAGGACAAGAAAGAAGAGUUGAGCCUGUAAAACUCAAAAUUGGGUGAGAAUUUAGAGCAAGGCUCCCUUCAGGCACUGGAAGGCCACAAUUAGGUGAUCCCAAAACCUUUUUGAGGCAGAAUGAUCCCAAUUCUCUCAGCCUUUCCUCAUGGCAGAGCUGCUCCAUCCUCUGAUAAUCCUGGUGGCUCCUCUGGACUUGCUCCAGCAGCUCCAGGUCCUUCCUGUGCUGGGGACUCUUCCUUGUUGCCCUUUUCAGCAUCCCCUGAAGGUCAGUGUUCACUCACAGCCCCAAAGAAGGGUUUACAGGGAGAGAUGCCAGGUGAAUUUUCCUCACUGAAGCCUUCUGAGAGUUCAGACUCAUCCUCAAGUCGUUGCUGAAUUCCAAUGACAAAAGCCAAGAGGAAUUAAGGUACAAUGUCUGUGUGUAAGUGGAGGUUGGGAAUAUUUAACAAGUUUACAUUAAAUUCACACCUUUACUUUAAGAUGAGGUAAAAAGAGGAAUUUUCUUCAUUACCAGUUCCAGUUCAGCUGCAUCCUGAGCCAGGUCCCACUUUGUGAGCUGAUGAAACUCACAAAUAUGAAUACUAAACCCAGCUCAGAUCAUUUUCUACCACUUAUCCUUAUCCUGAGGACAGUGUGACAAAACUUUCCUGAGGACAACAUCAGCUCCUUUUACAAACAGGGAACAAUCUCAACUCCUGAAGAACAGGUUCAAGGUUUUUCGCUCAUUUGUGUUUUACUAGAAGGCUUUUUUAUUGUUUUGUUUACUGUGGGAAAACCAGCUGCUUCCCAGGGUGCUCUAAGGAAAAAUGCCAUGACAGGAACUUUCAUUCCUUGUUGUUUACCACUGUUCUGAGGUGUUCUGAAGAUGCCUGGCAAAGCUCUGGCACUGGAUUGGGAUGAAGAAAAACAGCACGGAAGGGAAAAACAACAUUCCAGCAAUGGCAGCCUUGUGAAAGGCUGGGUGUAAUGUCAGUGAUAGGGGAAAAAAUGCACAAAUUCUUUUGAAAGCAAGUAAGUUUGACUUAAAAUGCUGGGCUGGCAUAAUUGGGGAUUGAGUUUCUUCUCACUCAAGAUAUGGGGGAACAGCAGAACUUCCCAUCCAGAAUCAAUUCCCCAUCUAUUCCCUGCUCCCUUUUUUUGGUGGCUCAGUCAUUCCUGAGUGGAAGAUCACGCUGAGAUUUUCGUGGCCCAUUGAUGCUCUGAUUUCUGUGAGGCACAAGGGAAAGACAUCAUUGUAAAUUAUAUUAGUGGUGAUUUGUUCCCCUAAACUCACAGACCAGUGGCUAUUCCACAGUAAAAGUGGGAUUUUGUCCACAGCUAUGACAUCUCCUUUUCGACCAUCUCCUCUUGUCACUCUCAUGCAAUGGGAUUUUUCACACUUGUAGGAUUCAUUUCAUAAAAUCAUGGAAUGGUUUGGGUUGGAAGGGAACUGGAAGAUCAUAGAGUUCUACCCCCUGCCAUGAGUAGGGACAAUUUUCACUAUCCCAGGUUGCUCCAAGCCCUGUCCAACCUGGCCUUGGACACUUCCAGGGAUGGAGCAGCCACAGCUUCUCUGGGAAACCUGGGACAGGGCCUCACCACCCUCACAGGAAAGAAUUUCUUCCCAAUAUCCAAUACAAAUGUUCAAAUUGUCUGGACAUCCAAGGGUUUCCCUAGUCACAGGGUGACAUUUCUGCUUUCUCCCAACUGAGGCUGCAGUUGUACUUUAAUUUCUUUUUCUCAGCUGUAGCUAUGUAGUUAUGUUUAUUCAUGUCAAUUCUGAUUUUUUUUCUCUAUUUUCCUACUUUCUAUCUCUCCAUCCUUGGUUUCCUAAGCAAUAUAACUGGAAAAUAUCUCAUGAGAGAGUGAGUUUAUUGAUGGCAGACACUAAAUCCACGUGAGAAGGAAAUGCCACAACCUGAAUAACAGCCAAAAAAAAAAAAAAAGAACCAAACACAGAAUCACAUCCAAAAACCUGGAAAAUAAUUAUUUAAAAGGAUACAUCCAACAAAAUCUUCAAACAAACCACCCCUACCGUCCAACAAACAAGAGCAGUUAUCCAAACUGCAAUUCAUUAACAGAGAGAAGAGAUAAUAUUCGGAAGUUUCAUUCCUGGCAUCAGGAGGCUGGGCAGGAUGUAACCCCAGCCAAGAGAAUUAUGAGUUUUUAUGUGGAAAAAGACAGCAGGAGAUGAGGAAGCAGCUCCUCUGAUGGAUUUCCUGAUUGCCCAGAACCCCUCACAAUGUAAAGAUUGGUAUUUUUAUUGUUUUAAUGGUUCUCAUUUACAGAGCUGAUGGGAUAUUUCACGUCCAGCCCAGGUUUCUUUGGAUUCAUUCUGUUUUUCUUUUAACUUCAGUUUAUCUCUAAUCCCCACCAUCAAUACCAAUAUAUACAAGACCUCUUUCAACUACCUGGUCAAUGACAAAAAAAUGCUCAAUAAUGAACUUUAGGCAGCAUUAAGGAAUCUCAGUGAUUCUCCAGUGAAAUUCCUGUCUCCUGAAAUCUCAAGGUCAGUGACUGAAGGCUAAAUGACUCUUUAAGGGACGCUUUUCCAACCUGAUUUCUCCAGAAAAUGAAGGUUUUGCACAUGUGAGCAAAGAUAGGAAUUUCCAUUUGCUCAGUUGUCACCUGGAUAUCUCAUAGAGGCAAAAUUUCCAAAUUAUAUUGAUUUCUUCCACUGUAAAAGUUGUUUUUGAGUGAGCACCACCCUUAUUAGAGAGCAGUGACCAUCACAACCCUUUGUGUCUCUUCAAAACUGAACUAAAAAUCAUGGUAGUGGUGCUUAUUAACCAAAAUAAAAUUUAAAAACAGCUGGAACACUGCAAGGAAAAUUAAAAAUUACGAACAUUGUCCAUUUAUUUAUAUAUAUUUAAUCAAAGAUAGUCAGUAUGUCCAAGCAUUUACAAAUGAAGAAAAGAAGUCAGAAAGAGCAUAUGGGGGAAAGGAAGGUUUUUAUCCCUAUUUUAAUGAUAGGCAGCAAGGUUGCAGAACUGUUUUGUGAUUUUUUUUCCCAGGUUAUGCACUGACAGUCAAUGGAGGAAGAAGCAACUCUCCUGAAAUUUCCUAACAACCAAUGUAAAGCAGGAGAAAUUUUUUUUCAUUUCUGGAUUUCAUUUUCCAUUGCAAAUGGAUUUAUGUGAAUGAAUUACAGCUCCAGCCAACAUGUUCCCAUAAAACACCAAAACGUGGUUUGAUAUUUGGAAGAAAUAGGUACCUUUAGCAGCUUCUGAAACAGCAGAGAGAAGGGAAAAAAACCCCAAACUCUUUCUUUUCCCCUUUUUUCCAUUUCUGUAGAGGUCUGAGGUGAAGAGUCCAGGAACUUCAUGCUAAGAAGAAAAGAUCUUGGAGGUCUUUCCCAACCUAAACAAUUCCAUGAUUCUGUGAUUCUCUACCCCAGCAGAUCCCUUAGCUCAGCUGCCCAGUUUAUCCCUGUUAAUCCUAGUUUAUCCUGUUUCUUAGAGUUGAUAAUUUGCAGUAUGGAUAGUCUGUGGCUCUAAUAAAUAUUCCACCCAAAAGGCUCUGUCAGAUAAGCUCUUAUAAAAUUAAAAAUGCCAGUUAUGUAUUUUUUCAGCAUCAGCAUUGCAGUGGCAAUGCCGGAGCAGGUCUGGAAGAUGGAGUUUCCUCAGAGGGGAAGAAAAAAAAAUCAAAAUUAUGCUGCUUUGUUUUUUGAAUUUUAGAACUGGAACAGAAAACUGAAGGUGGAGACCUCAAGAAUCAGGAGGGGAAAGGCAGAACCUCCAGACUGUGUUUGUCAUCACCCCCAAACUCUUGUGAGGGAUUCCUUGUGUGUCAGGUGACUCAAACCAGCUUUAAAGAGAUGUAGAAUCCUAAAAUGGUUGGAAGAAACCUUAAAGAUCAUCCAGUUCCAAACCCCAGCCAUGGGCAGGGACACCUUCCACUGUCCCAGGUUGCUCCAAGCCCCAUCCAACCUGGCUUUGGACACUUCCAGGGAGCCAGGGGCAGCCACAGCUUCUCUGGGCAACCUGUGCCAGGGCCUCAGCACCCUUCCAGGGAGGAAUUUCUUCCCAAUAUCCAAUCUAACCUUCUCUCAGUGGGAAGCCUAACCCCUUUUUCCUGUCACUCCCAGCCCUUGGAGUGAUUUCAGAGUCUCACAGCUGUUUCUCAGGCACUCAAAGAUUCACAUCAUGGGGGCGUGUUACAAAAAUGUAGUGCACAAAACUAAAUUAUUAAUGAUGCAUUUAAUGCUAAACUCUCUCCUCAGCUUAACUAACUUGCCUGCUAAAUGCCUCUCUCUCUGGAUAAUGUUGAA